ensembl:lncRNA RAB30-DT RAB30 divergent transcript
CUCCAUUUUUUAGCUAAGAGAUUGAGAGAGUCGGUUUACUUUUGGGCUUGGAGUAUCAUUUAGAUCUGUUAACAGUACAGUUGAGAGAGUUGGUGUCUUUUGUUGAGGUGCGAGGACCCGAGGCGGCGACCCUCGCCUUUAUUCGGAGAAGCCCACUUCCACCCACAGAGUUGGGGUAGUCCUCCGAAAUGCAUUUUUGUUUUGCCGUUUGUUUUCCAACCCCCUUUCACUCUCCCCAAAGCUUCAGAUUCACUGAUUUUUCAUACAGGAAUGAUUAACAAAGGCGUCCGAAGAAAUCGUUGUUGGAAGGUGACCAAGGUGGAAAGAGACGUUGCUUUGGCCCUGCAAGUAAGAAGAGAGAGGGAAUAGCCUGAAGGAGUAACACUAAAUUUAAAAUGACACUUUUUUACCAACCAGCGAAAGCAGAUGUUCAAAGGGGAUAUUGGCCAGAGUCUGUCACACUAAGAUGAGAAAUGUCCUUUCUUCCUGAAGGUGUCUGAUGUGUAAAAAUAUGAUAUACUUUGUGCUGUUUCCUCCCUUCCCUUUUGCAUAUUAUUCUGAAACAACAUUAACUAGUUACUUUGCGUCAUUGAAGGUAUGCACUUCCCCUCUAUGUUAGGAGUGAAUAAAAUUAAAAAUAGAUCCUUAUAACAAAGAAAGGCAGAUAGAAUGAUUAAAAAUGACCAAAACAUGUUAGAAACAGUCUCUCAGGUGUAUGCAGAUGGUAAUUACAAAAAUACUUUUUCAAAAAAUGAUCUUCUGUGUCAUGUUUCUGGGAACAAGUCAAGAUGAAUGAGUUUGAUUUUUAAGCAGAAGUAGUAUGUGUUGGUGUCAUCCAUGAAUACAACAAUGAAAAAGGCUCAAAGUUGUUGUUAUUCAGAAACUUCUCUAAGUAAUGGUGGUAAGUACAGGAAAAGGAGCAAUGUCUACCAUUUUCUUUCUAACCUUCGAUUUAACUAUUGUAAUGUUGUAAGCUUAACAGAGACUUACACUUAGGCUUAAUUUCAAGCUCUUCAAUCAUUUUUCCCGGUUGGUGAUUCAGGUGUAUUCUCAUGUCUUAUGUAAACUUAUCAUGAGUGUUGUUGAUUUAUAAUAUAUUUCUUUAUGUAAGCCAUA